rnacentral:rRNA from 1 species
AUUGAACGCUGGCGGCAUGCCUUACACAUGCAAGUCGAACGGCAGCACGGGUGCUUGCACCUGGUGGCGAGUGGCGAACGGGUGAGUAAUACAUCGGAACAUGUCCUGUAGUGGGGGAUAGCCCGGCGAAAGCCGGAUUAAUACCGCAUACGAUCUACGGAUGAAAGCGGGGGACCUUCGGGCCUCGCGCUAUAGGGCUGGCCGAUGGCUGAUUAGCUAGUUGGUGGGGUAAAGGCCUACCAAGGCGACGAUCAGUAGCUGGUCUGAGAGGACGACCAGCCACACUGGGACUGAGACACGGCCCAGACUCCUACGGGAGGCAGCAGUGGGGAAUUUUGGACAAAGGGCGAAAGCCUGAUCCAGCAAUGCCGCGUGUGUGAAGAAGGCCUUCGGGUUGUAAAGCACUUUUGUCCGGAAAGAAAUCCUUGGCCCUAAUACGGUCAGGGGAUGACGGUACCGGAAGAAUAAGCACCGGCUAACUACGUG